rnacentral:rRNA from 1 species
UACGGGGGGAGCAAGCGUUGUUCGGAUUUACUGGGCGUAAAGGGCGGGUAGGCGGCCACCGCAAGUCAGUUGUGAAAUCUCUGGGCUUAACCCAGAAAGGUCAACUGAUACUGCGGGGCUAGAGUGCAGAAGGGGCAACUGGAAUUCUCGGUGUAGCGGUGAAAUGCGUAGAUAUCGAGAGGAACACCUGCGGCGAAGGCGGGUAGCUGGGCCGACACUGACGCUGAAGCGCGAAAGCUAGGGGAGCGAACGGGG